rnacentral:snoRNA from 1 species
UGUCCUGAUGACACAACCAUAAACCGCAAACUAGAGUCUUUGAUCCUACGGGAAAUGCAACUAGAUAUGUACGUCAGUCUGAAU